CUGCCAAGCUGUCGGUUCUCAGUGUGGUAAGGUUCCUUUUGUGGCCAAAUGCAGAGAAAUGAUGGGCUGAGUUAGGGAUGUGUGGUGUGUGUGUGUUUGCCUGUGGCUGCCGAAGUGGAGGAUGUGUUGGGAGGAGCACUCAGGACUUCCAUUUUUGCUUUCUUACUACGCAACGAUAAAAUAAAUGACGCUUAGUAGAUAACUUUGUGCUUAGAGAACUGGAGCUCAAUUGAAGAAACAAAACUCCACCAGGAGGAGUGCUCAGUAUCUUGAACUUAGGAAACGGACCUCGUUAAUUUUAAUGAGGGGAAAAAUUCUCCAGCUGGAGCUGAGAAGAAGAUGAAAUACCAAUGAGGUUAUCACUUUGGAUGAUCUCAAUGAAUUCAGAGUAGCAUCAGAAUGAUGCUUGGAGAAUUUUCUGAAGUUCUUUGGAGAGAUUUAGCAGAGAAUGCAUUUGCCUUCGAUGGUAUAUAAAGACCGCUUCCCUGGAGGGCAGAGCAGAACUUUAUAUGGUUCCUCUUAGAGGGGCUCUUAGAAAGCUUAGCACAUUAAGAAGUUGGGCUAAAAUAAAACUCAGAGAGAAAAUAAAUGAAUGUGAGUCUUAUGUGAGUCUAGCUUGGGAACAAUGGAGCUGGUAAUAUAGUGGCCGAGACAGUUGACUGGAAGCCAAGGGCUUCUGAGUUCAAGUGCACACUGGGACACUAACUUCCACUGGGAUUUGGGGCAUCUGUUUCUUUAUCACCCAAAGGCAGGAGGUGGGCUGAGGGCAUCCUGUUAUAUAGUAGGCAGCCAUUCAACGUGAACAAUAAGUCGAUGACUUUGGCCCUGUUGUUGAGGAGCUGACAGAUUGUGACCAAUGAGGUUGGGGUGACUGGAGGACAAUUUUGCCCUCAGUUGGGAGAGGCUUGCCAAAUUCCCCUGGCAUUGGUCCGGAACCACAGACAGAAACAUCACCGUUUAAGGUAUUUGGCCCUUUUACUUUAUCCUCGUCCACUACACGGCUGAUCCUAGGAAAAAGAGCACUCUUCCACCAAUGAAUUCUUCAGAGGUCUGGAGCAGACAGCCCAGGCUUUUUUCUCCAAAAGCUCCAGCCUGCUGACUCAAGCUCUUUUCUCAUCUCUCUGGCAUGUCGCUGCACUCAGGAUAAGAUUUGUGCGACCAUCAGGUACAAAUUCAUGUGUCACUUUUUGAUUAAAUGGGGCCAUCUUGCUCUAGGGGUCACCGGGCAUGUGGGGGGGACCCAUUCCUACUUCUAAGGUCCCUUGAAUUUCAGCCCUUUUCUUUGAAAGCUGUAAGGCAACAGUUCAGGGCACUUGUGCUGCUGCUAUGGCUGUGCCUAUAUUUGAUGGGGAAGGCUGGUUGCCAAGCAGCAGGGAAUGGACAUGAUCGUGUUGCCUAGCAACAGCGGCAGCGUGGUCACUUGCGCAGAUUUCUGCGCCUCUUCCUGUUUGGUCUGCUGGAAAAUACAGAUGGCUUCCGUGGGUCGCUCUCUACCCUGGCCACAGUGAGAUGUUGGAAAAACAGUGAACCGGGGUGGAUAAAUGCACAAGCAGGUGGUUUAAAAUGAUUACUUUCUAAACUGUCUAGGGCCGAGCUUUUUGUACGGUGUUCCUCCAUUUCCCCUUUGAAGAUAUUGUACGUACCCAGCGUGACCUGUAGAUUGAUUGCAGAGCCAGGAGAGGAGUCUUAGGAAAAAGUACCCCACUUCUUUGCGUGCUGCCUCUUCUGAGCCUGGUGGAGCCUUCGCACUGGGGAGCAUGUGUGAAUAUAAUAUAAAACAGUCAGUUUUCUGAUAAAUACACACACACACACACACACACACACAGGCCUGUGUGAAAAAGAUACAGGAGGAGCAGAGCGUGACCACCUAUUGUUCGUUGGGGUCUGAGGAACAAAGCAGUCGGGAGAGAUAAAGGCAGGCGAGCCCUGCGGGUCUGCCCUUUCUCCCUGCUCUGACCAGCACCUCGCAUGUGACACAGCUCAGUGAGGUCACUUGCUCAUUCCAGAUUCUAAAGAUGCUUCCUUGGCAGAGGCCUCCUAGGUCAGAGGCCUCUUGGCGGUGGUUGUAUGUUUGGAGCACCAGGAGUGUUUGGAGCUGAAUGCUUAAGGAAUGGAUUUUCUGGCAGUGAGAGAAAGAGAGUGAGCAUCUGACCCUUAGCCCUCAUAGGGUGAGGAGGUACCUCCCUACCCACUCCCAUUCCUGUCUAUGGAGUUGAAUUGUAGCCAAGUACCGGCUUGGUGUCAGCAGGCCCUGGUUCUGUCUUUAAUGUCACUGCCUACCUGCGGUGUGGCUCUGUGCGGCCCUUUGUCCCACCUGAACCUUUGCAUUCCUGUCUAGGAAGAUAAUAGCAAACGCAGCCUCACAGGGAGGGCUUGAAGGUUCAGAAAGGCCCUGGUUUGUUGGCACAUCUGGCCUAGAGCCAGUGUGUAGGGAUUCUUGCUGCCAACCUCCUCCUAGCAGUUUAAGAGCAGGAAGAGAGAAGGGAAGGCAAGCUCUGCACAGCACAGAUUUCGCCAUCUUGGUUUCUGUUCCCAGCCUUAGCCUUCCAGAUGAUGAGCCAGUAUUUCCAUCCAUUUAGGUUAGAAAAGACGAGAGACCCCUCUCCUUUUGGAGGCUUGACUUGGUCCCUUGGGAGCCUGGAGGGGGCUAAUUGAUUUUCAGUAGUUUCCUAGUUUUUACAAAAUCAGUAAGGAUGGGUUGUUUGCAUUUCACAGAGGAUGAGACAGGAAUGUAGAACAGUGGGCUAAUUUGUUGGGGAUUCUCGAGACCAUUGGUUCCAAGUUGGGAUCAAAAUCCUAGGGCCUGAUGGGGUAAAGGAAGCCCCUGGCAAAGCCAGAGGGAGUAGGUUAGUGUAGGACAUCUCUGUGGAGUCAGAACGUUCUAGGAACUGAGGAGACUUGGAUUUUAGGUUUCAAGUUGCCAGGUCAGUGAGUGUCUUCUGGACAGAUUGAAGCAUGGCUUUUGGCAGCCCAGCUGAGCUGCCAGGCCUGAGUCUGCUCUGUUGUACGUCCACUAGUCUGCAGAGGGGCAAAGGCAUUCUAAUGCAGAAGCUCCAGCUCUCAUUGAAGUCCUGCUAAAGGCCCUGGUUCUUCAGUUUCCUCAGAGUCAGGGAAACCUAGGGCUAGGAAUUACCAGCUUUGGCUACUUUAAAAGUGCUCUACUCAGUGGAUUGCUCCAUGAAGGACAGCAUGUCCUUCUUUUGCAUUGGUUACUUGUCUCUCUCUUUUUUUCUUUUUUGGUCUUUUUAGGGCCACACGCAUAGCAUAUGGAAGUUCCCAUGCUGUGGAUCACAUUCGAGCUUCAGCUGCUGGCCUGUGCCACAGCCAGAGCAAUGCCAGAUCCGAGCUGUGCCUGCUGCCUACACCACAGCUCACUGCAACCCUGGAUCCUUAACCCACUGAGUGAGGUCAGGGAUCCAUACUGUGUCCUCAUGGAUCCUAGUCAGGUUCAUCGCUAUGGAGCCAAGGUGGGAACUUCCUGGUUACUUUGUCUCUUAAAGCAAGUAACCCUUUUGGCUCUGAAGGUUAGAACCUCUCCACAAUACCAACAUCCUCAGGCAUUUCUUGUUCUCUGUGCAGGAAGAGAGCAGCCCUCACAGAUUCUCCUCACAGCAGCCAUUGGUAGACUGUGAGCAGAACUCGGAAGGCAGUAUGGUUCUAGAAUUCCACACCGCCUGUUUUUGCCAUGGCGUCCAGAGCUGCCUCUGACUGUCACAUUCCAUGGCCCUGCGCCACCGAUGACUCAGGAUACUCAUCUAAGUGUUUUCCUUAGGGGCUGGGGCAGGGAGGAAGGGGAGAUUAAAGAGAGGAGAGACUUGUGUGCGGUCCAUUUCCCCACCUAUCUGACAUUAAAGGGGUCCAGCAGCUCCUGCCAUAGCACCUAGGAAGGUCAGGAGACACCCAGAUCUAAGCUAGAGUAAAGAAAUUUUUUUUUCUUUGCUUUUUAGGAUCACACCUGUGGCAUAUGGAAGUUCCCAGGCUAGGGGUGGAAUUGGAGCUACAGCUGCCAGCCUGAAGCCACAGUAACUUGGGAUCUGAGCCGUGUCUGCAAUCUAUAGCGCAGCUGAAUGGCAAUGCCAGAUCCUUAAUCCGCUGAGCAAGGCCAGGGAUGAACCUGCAUCCUCAUGGAUCCUAGCUGGGUUUGUUACCCCAGAGCCAUGAUGGGAACUCCCUAGAGGAAAGCAAUGAGGCCUUUUCCCCACCAGACGUGCCUCCCCAGCUGCCUUCUUACUUGGCUGUAUCUGUAAAUGAACCACCUUCUUUAUGCCUUGGUUUCAUGUGGUCUCUCUGUGAGACUCUUGGCAGAGGCCUUGGUUGCCACCAAAAGAGGCUAACAGUGCAGCCUCCGCCCCAGCCCAUCUCAGGGGUGUUUCCUUAGCUAAGUCCUGGGGAGGCAUGCAAUGAAAGAGAAACAGGUGUAGCCGACCUGAGGAACCACUUCAAGGCCACAUGUCUCCCCCCAGCAGCUCUCUCUUCCCGUGGAUUGGAAGAUGUUCAGCCUUUAGUCUCCGUCAGAGGACAGUGUGAGAAAGGGGAUUGUAUUAUCUGCUGAUUGUAUUAUCUGAUUGAAAUCCCCUCCCAGCUGUGUGAGCCUGUGGAUUUGCAUCCUUCCCGUGACAAGUAUCACUUAUUGUGUUUGGUUUUGCUUGUCACAGUGACUUUUGGUAUUCAGCUAACACCCUUCUUUUAAGGAAGUUAGAACACUUGAUACAUUUUAAGCCUCUGAUCCUCUCAAAUACUCCUGGAAAACUGAGGUCCAUUGAGAUGAAGUGCCUUGAUUAGUUAUAUAACAGGCUGGCUGCUUUUUGGUUACCCCUUUUCUUUCUCUCCCUCACUCUCACUUUCCCCUUCUCUCUCCCUUUCUUCCUCUCCCUCUCUCAUGUUGUUAGAAAAUUGUCUGCAUAUACAGGUUCGCAAUAUUCUACUUUUACAUCAGAAGUCCUAUCUCUAGUACUGUUUAUUUCCAUCAUGCCCCCUUUUCAGGAGAACUCUAGCUCUGUUGCCACAUUUGCAUUACCGGCCCCCUGCGUGUGCAUGAGAGGUUAGCAGUAACGCCACUUCAGAACCGAGGUUGCUGAGUGCAGGCUCAUUCUAUCUUGUAGAGACCAAGUCUCAGCAAGUGGAAGUGUCUUGCCAAGGGGGUGGAACUAUUAAUAAGAAAGGAAACUAAAAAUAGACCUUAGACAUUUCACUUGGCUCUCCUCGACAUCACUCCUCGCCUGGUCUUGGUUAGGACAGGCAUGACAUCGCUCCGUUUUCAUCCAGAGAACCACCACCCAAGUGUGUCUCAGUGGUUCAUUAGGGUAUGCAGUCUUUUAGAGGUGAUGUUGAAACUUGUAAACGUGGGGUAGUUCCUAAGGUCCUAAGGCCUAAGGAUGGGCACUGUAGCCUGGUCCUGGGAUGUCCUGGUAGAUAGGAAGUGUUCAGUGGACAUUUACCAAUUUGAUAAGGUUUUUAUUUUUAUUUUUUUGCUUUUCAGGGCCACUCCCGCAGCAUAUAGAGGUUUUCAGGCUAAGGGUCAAGUCAGAGCUAUAGCUGCUGGCCUACACCACAGCCACAGCAACUCGGGAUCCAAGCCGCGUCUGAGACCUACACCACAGCU
rnacentral:lncRNA from 1 species